rnacentral:tRNA from 2 species
GUAAACAUAGUUUAAGAUAAGACAUUAGUCUGUGGACCUAAAAAUAGAAGCUAAAACCUUCUUGUAUACC